UGAGGGUCCCUGCCAUGGAGAGCGAGACCCAUUUUCCCUGGGAGCAUGAAUCCGGAAGAGCUGAACCUGGGGUCCAUUGACCUUCGGAGGAUGUAUGUGUCUAUGGAUAUAAUUCAGAGAACCCUGCUCUCCUGCAGGCAGUGCAUUCUGAAUGGGGGCUCCCUUCAUCUGGACGGCCUGUCUGCAUACAGAUAAUCAGGCACUUUGAAGAUGCUCUGGGCCCAGCAGCCCUGCAAGUAGCUUGUCACACACAGGGAAAACCAAUCGAAGGCCGAGAAGGCUGUGCUCCUGAAAUACCCUAGGAGAGAGCGGGCCGAAAAGGUGAAACUUUAGACUACCAAACAGACGGAAACACUGAGAGCAGAGUGGAACUUCUGUGGUUCCCAUGAUGCUGAUGCAGCAGUGAGGCCUUGGCUGCCCUCUCUGGAUUGAGAACCUGUUGAUCUGGUCUGUUUGUGUUGAUCAGCCAAUCACCUUGCUUGCUGCUUGUCUACCUGGUGGCAAUCAAAGGUUAACCCCUGAGGCCCAGGUAAAUGUCCCCCUGUGACAGAACUGGCCUCCAAGAAAGCAAAUGCUGGGAUGCAUUCUUUGGGAUCCAAGCCCCACCCUCCCUGUCCCAGCCUCUGGACCCACUUAGACAAGUGUUGACUCAUUCAUGCGUUACC